AUUCAUGAAGGUAUCUUCUGGCCGGGGGAGUUUUGUUAAGGGCCCCGACGCUCGUUCUUAGCGUUAAAAUUUGAUUUGAACAUGCAACGCUUGCAGUACGGUUUUGUAAACAUAAGGAAUGUAUUUUUCAGCGAGGAAUACUACACAGAUAGUACACAAGAUACGGCAGUACGAGAAGAUGAACUAUAGUGUUCCCACACGGCCAUAUCUUCAUGUUACAGCACUUGUUUAACGUUAGACAGACAAAAGACAAGAGGUGACCACCUGUGCUAACUAGCUAUCUAGCGUGCUCAAACACCUGUGUGUACUAAGCGUAACUGGGGAAGAAGUGUAGCAAGAGUGUAGUUCGUCGGCUGAAGGCACACAGCUGCACAGAUCUGUGUAAACCCGCUGCAUGGGGAGUCAGAGGCAGAGGAUCCCUCUUUCUGCUGCUGCUUAUAACAACAAUGGUUCUCAACUGGUUUUGUCUCGGGACCCAAAUUGAACCAGAUUGUCUCGAAACCAGCCAGACAAUAUCCCAUACAAUAACAGUAGGCCAGCUGUUCCAUGAAGAAGGCAUAAACCCUCUGAAGGUUGGCACCAAGAUUGAUGUGGGCUGUACCUAAACUGUUUGGGUUUGAGUCUGCACGACUGUAAGGACCAUACGAUCUCAAAACUAUGUUGGUAUUCUUUUGUGCAUUAUAUUAUCUUCUUAGCUAGUACUAUUACUAUUUUAUAGUAGUAGGCUAGCCUAGCCAUAAUUCAUAAAUAUAUGGAACACAUUUGGUUCAGUAGGUGAAG